GAUGAACGCUGGCGGCGUGCCUAAUACAUGCAAGUCGAGCGAACAGAUAAGGAGCUUGCUCCUUUGACGUUAGCGGCGGACGGGUGAGUAACACGUGGGUAACCUACCUAUAAGACUGGAAUAACUCCGGGAAACCGGGGCUAAUGCCGGAUAACAUUUAGAACCGCAUGGUUCUAAAGUGAAAGAUGGUUUUGCUAUCACUUAUAGAUGGACCCGCGCCGUAUUAGCUAGUUGGUAAGGUAACGGCUUACCAAGGCAACGAUACGUAGCCGACCUGAGAGGGGUGAUCGGCCACACUGGAACUGAGACACGGUCCAGACUCCUACGGGAGGCAGCAGUAGGGAAUCUUCCGCAAUGGGCGAAAGCCUGACGGAGCAACGCCGCGUGAGUGAUGAAGGUCUUCGGAUCGUAAAACUCUGUUAUUAGGGAAGAACAAAUGUGUAAGUAACUGUGCACGUCUUGACGGUACCUAAUCAGAAAGCCACGGCUAACUACGUG
rnacentral:rRNA from 1 species